rnacentral:rRNA from 1 species
UCCUACGGGGGGCAGCAGUGGGGAAUAUUGCGCAAUGGGCGAAAGCCUGACGCAGCGACGCCGCGUGGGUGAAGAAGCGCCUCGGCGCGUAAAGCCCUGUCAGCAGGGAAGAAAAUGACGGUACCUGAAGAAGAAGCCCCGGCUAACUACGUGCCAGCAGCCGCGGUAAUACGUAGGGGGCAAGCGUUAUCCGGAUUUACUGGGUGUAAAGGGGGCGCAGACGGCGAUGCAAGCCAGGAGUGAAAGCCCGGGGCCCAACCCCGGGACUGCUCUUGGAACUGCGUGGCUAGAGUGCAGGCGGGGCG